rnacentral:rRNA from 1 species
GGGGAAUCUUGGACAAUGGGCGCAAGCCUGAUCCAGCCAUGCCGCGUGAGUGAAGAAGGCCUUAGGGUUGUAAAGCUCUUUUGGCAGGAACGAUAAUGACGGUACCUGCAGAAUAAGCCCCGGCAAACUUCGUGCCAGCAGCCGCGGUAAUACGAAGGGGGCUAGCGUUGUUCGGAUUUACUGGGCGUAAAGCGCACGUAGGCGGAUUGUUAAGUCAGGGGUGAAAUCCCGGAGCUCAACUCCGGAACUGCCUUUGAUACUGGCAAUCUUGAGGCUGGAAGAGGUUGGUAGAAUUCCCAGUGUAGAGGUGAAAUUCGUAGAUAUUGGGAAGAAUACCAGUGGCGAAGGCGGCCAACUGGUCCAGAUCUGACGCUGAGGUGCGAAAGCGUGGGGAGCAAACA